rnacentral:rRNA from 1 species
UACGGAGGAUGCAAGCGUUAUCCGGAAUUAUUGGGCGUAAAGCGUCCGCAGGUGGUUUAUCAAGUCUGCUGUCAAAGCGCGAGGCUUAACUUCGUAAAGGCAGUGGAAACUACCAAGCUGGAGUACGGUAGGGGCAGAGGGAAUUUCCGGUGGAGCGGUGAAAUGCGUAGAGAUAUGGAGGAACACCAGUGGCGAAGGCGACUUUCUGGUCUGUAACUGACACUGAGGCGCGAAAGCGUGGGGAGCAAACAGG